rnacentral:rRNA from 1 species
CCCUUAGAUGUUCUGGGCUGCACGCGCGCUACACUGAUGCGCUCAACGAGUUUAUGACCUUGCCCGGAAGGGUUGGGUAAUCUUCUUAAAACGCAUCGUGAUGGGGAUAGAUUAUUGUAAUUAUUAAUCUUCAACGAGGAAUUCCUAGUAAGCGCGAAUCAUCAGUUCGUGCUGAUUACGUCCCUGCCCUUUGUACACACCGCCCGUCGCUCCUACCGAUUGAGUAAUCCGGUGAAUAAUUCGGACCGAUUGCGAUGUCAGUUCCUGGCGCCGCAGACGGAAAGUCUAGUGAACCUUAUUACUUAGAGGAAGGAGAAGUCGUAACA